rnacentral:misc_RNA from 1 species
GAUCAUUACUGAUUUGCUUAAUUGCACCACAUGUGUUUUCUAUUAUUAUGAAACUUUCUUUGGCGGUGAGACGUAAAACUCACGCCGCCAGAGGUUUACUAAAACUAAAUUUAAAUAUUGUCAUUUUUUGUUAUUAUUUAUUUAAUAGUCAAAACUUUCAACAACGGAUCUCUUGKUUCUCGCAUCGAUGAAGAACGCAGCGAAAUGCGAUACGUAAUAUGAAUUGCAGAUAUUCGUGAAUCAUCGAAUCUUUGAACGCACAUUGCGCCCUCUGGUAUUCCAGAGGGCAUGCCUGUUUGAGCGUCAUUUCUCCCUCAAACCUUUGGGUUUGGUGUUGAGCAAUACGCGAUACGGUUUGUUUGAAAUAUAGUAAUGUACCGACGUAAACGACUUA